CAGUCGCCGCGGUAAAACGGAGGGGGCUAGCGUUGUUCGGAAUUACUGGGCGUAAAGCGCACGUAGGCGGCUUGGUAAGUUAGAGGUGAAAGCCCGGAGCUCAACUCCGGAAUUGCCUUUAAGACUGCCGAGCUAGUAGGUGAGAGAGGUAAGUGGAAUUCCGAGUGUAGAGGUGAAAUUCGUAGAUAUUCGGAAGAACACCAGUGGCGAAGGCGGCUUACUGGCUCAUUCUAGACGCUGAGGUGCGAAAGCGUGGGGAGCAAACAGGAUUAGAUACCCCGGUAGUCCCUGUCUCUUAUAC
rnacentral:rRNA from 1 species